AACGAACGCUGGCGGCAUGCCUAACACAUGCAAGUCGAACGAUCCCUUCGGGGCUAGUGGCGCACGGGUGCGUAACGCGUGGGAACCUGCCCUUAGGUUCGGAAUAACUCAGAGAAAUUUGAGCUAAUACCGGAUAAUGUCUUCGGACCAAAGAUUUAUCGCCUUUGGAUGGGCCCGCGUCGGAUUAGCUAGUUGGUGGGGUAAAGGCCUACCAAGGCGACGAUCCAUAGCUGGUCUGAGAGGAUGAUCAGCCACACUGGGACUGAGACACGGCCCAGACUCCUACGGGAGGCAGCAGUGGGGAAUAUUGGACAAUGGGCGAAAGCCUGAUCCAGCAAUGCCGCGUGAGUGAUGAAGGCCUUAGGGUUGUAAAGCUCUUUUACCCGGGAUGAUAAUGACAGUACCGGGAGAAUAAGCCCCGGCUAACUCCGUG
rnacentral:rRNA from 1 species